rnacentral:rRNA from 1 species
GUGWCAAGUCGAGCGGUAGAGAGAAGCUUGCUUCUCUUGAGAGCGGCGGACGGGUGAGUAAUACCUAGGAAUCUGCCUGAUAGUGGGGGAUAACGUUCGGAAACGGACGCUAAUACCGCAUACGUCCUACGGGAGAAAGCAGGGGACCUUCGGGCCUUGCGCUAUCAGAUGAGCCUAGGUCGGAUUAGCUAGUUGGUGAGGUAAUGGCUCACCAAGGCUACGAUCCGUAACUGGUCUGAGAGGAUGAUCAGUCACACUGGAACUGAGACACGGUCCAGACUCCUACGGGAGGCAGCAGUGGGGAAUAUUGGACAAUGGGCGAAAGCCUGAUCCAGCCAUGCCGCGUGUGUGAAGAAGGUCUUCGGAUUGUAAAGCACUUUAAGUUGGGAGGAAGGGCAUUAACCUAAUACGUUAGUGUCUUGACGUUACCGACAGAAUAAGCACCGGCUAACUCUGUGCCAGCAGCCGCGGUAAUACAGAGGGUGCAAGCGUUAAUCGGAAUUACUGGGCGUAAAGCGCGCGUAGGUGGUUUGUUAAGUUGAAUGUGAAAUCCCCGGGCUCAACCUGGGAACUGCAUCCAAAACUGGCAAGCUAGAGUAUGGUAGAGGGUAGUGGAAUUUCCUGUGUAGCGGUGAAAUGCGUAGAUAUAGGAAGGCACACCAGUGGGCGAAGGCGACUACUUGSACUGAUACUGACACUGAGGUGCGAAAGCGUGGGGAGCAAACAGGAUUAGAUACUCUGSUAGUCCACGCCGUAGACGAUGUCAACUAGCCGUUGGGGAGUCUUGAACUCUUAGUGGCGCAGCCUAACGCAUUAAGUUGACCGCCUGGGGGAGUACSGC